UGCGUUGUGCAGGAGGUCGGAUUAGAUGAUCAUAAUGGUCCCUUUUGACCUUAGUAUCUAUGAAUCUAUCUGGCCAAAGGGUUGCAUCCUUUUCCAUCAGAGGCAGAAAGAUUGCUAUGAUUCACACCAUUUUUAACACAGAUUAGACUACUGCAAAGCUCUCUACAUGCAGCUACACCUUCAGUCAGUUCAGAAUCUGAAGCUAGUGCAGAAGGCAGAGGUUUGCUUCUUAAAUGGAGUUUGUCACAAACACAUUGUCCAUCACCCCAACAACCAGAACUAGACCAAAGUAUUACAGCCUGCCUUCACUCCCAGAGUGAGAGCUGAGGGUCUGCUCUCCUUCCCAGCCAGCCAGCAACUCUCCCUCUUUAGCUCCUCCCUCAAAGUCUGACAUGUGCUGCAGGUGCCAUGGGACAUGGCUGAUUGGGCUCCCCAGCAGCCCAUUAACCCUUUCUUGACUUGUGUGUGGUUUUUACACCCCAUCACAUCCAUGCAUCAUUUAUCUAGGCAUUAACUGCUUACAAGUUUCAAAGCUACUUUUAGGGGCAGUAGUGUUAUUGCAGGACACACCUCAUCCACCCAAAACCUUAAAAGCAGGGAAAUAAGUGAAGGGAAAGACUUGUGCAUUCCUUUUCACCUUCAUGCUGCUUCCAUCACUCUUGAUAAUGCAAUCCAAAGAGUAAACAGGAAGACGAUUAUGGUGCAGUGAUAGCUUUUACUUCUAUCUCCAAUUGAUAUACAAAUGCAAUGUACCCCAUCUUUGUCAAAUUUGCACUCUAAUACAAAACUUUAACAGUGACCUCGUGCUUUUAUAUCAACAGAUUUGCAUGCCUGAUUGUCACAUGCUCUAUGCAUCUGGGAAAUUAUUUUGACUUAACACUGCUGAGGUCAUUAUUAAGAAGUGUGUUGGAGUGCAAGUUUGAAGAAGUUGGGAAUAUGUAUAGCUUUGGGGUAACAGCUGGAGAUGAAAGUGAAAGCUAUCACUGCACCAUAAUUCGGAGCUGUAAGCAGACUGAAAAAUUGCUAGAGUUCUCUGACUCUCUUGGACAACUGAAUAGCUUAGUAAACGUUGGAGUGUUGAGCUCAAUUUGAAUCUUCCUGAGAUUUUGUACACAAAUAAAGGAGUAGGCAUUGGACAUUCUCCAAAGAGUCUAAAAAGACAGUGAGGGAACAUCUAAGUAAACAAGAGGCUGUUGCUGGAUUGUGCUGGCACUCAUCAUGUUCUAAAUGGGUUCCAAACAUAGAGGAAGACACAGUCCUUACCCUGAAGAAUGUAAAAGCAAAGAAACAGCAACAACUCUCAAAGAACAAAACAAAGGAAGGAGAGUUCACAGACUGGAAAGGGACACAGCCUGUGAAAUAUAUUGCCGCUCAUGGUGAGACAAACCUUUUACUUUUAAGCCUAUUAGCCUGAUAAAGUUUAGGAAUUAGCUUGCAUGUUUAUCCUUUUAUUUCUUUUGCAACCAAUUCUGACUUUUAUGCCUUACUACUUAUAAUCACUUAAAAUUUGUCUUUCUCUAGUUAAUAAACUCGUGUCAUUGUUUUAUCUAAAUCAGUGUGUUUGGAUUGAAGUGUUCGGGAAACCUCCACUUGAGACAAGUGCAGACAAUUAUUUCCUUUGUUGAAAUGAUGGACUAUCUAUGAUCUCGCAUGGUUCAGCAGUGCAGUGGACAGUACAAGAUGAACAUUUCAGGGAUGCAAGUCUGGGGAUAUGCAAGUAUCCCCUGUGUAUAAUUCCUGAAUGGCUAUGCAUAGCAUUCAUGUAUUCAGCUGGGGGUGACUACAUGGUAGGGGCUGUGUGUGAGCAGAGCCUAGAAGGGUUUGCUGUUCACCAGCAAAGCAGUGUGUGAUGGGGCACACUCGCCCUGCACUGGACAGGGAAGGGUUAACCCUACAUUGGGUUGAGGAAACCAUGCCCCCUUUGCUCUACUGGGCAUGCUCCAGGUGCACUAAUAUAAAAGGGAGCAGCUCAGCUCAGUUGGGGCUGACCGUCAAGGAGGAAGGAUGUGCUCCACUGGCUCCAGCCAAGGAUAAGCUGAAACCCAAGGUCCUGGAGGCUGGAGACGCUGUAAAUCAGGCAGAUGCUAAGGUACCUACAGAGACCCUGCUGUGUCAGGAGUUGCUGGGGACAACGCAAACCAGGGAACCCGGAGACAACAGAGAUGCCCAGACCAUAGCAUAGAAACUACGGUAGGAAGCAGCCCAGGGGAAUUAGAUACAGGCCCGAUUAGUGAACUGGAGUUUUGAGUCAGUGUGUUUCGGUUGGAAACGCCACCCCCACUGACUCAGUGGCAUGCGCCCUUGCCACUACCAGGGCCUUGGGCUGGAGUCCAGUGGAGAUGGAGUGUCUGGACCCCUCUACCAGGGCCACCACCCCUCUUCUUGUGUGUGGCAGCCUUCUUCCUGACUGACUUUGGCCACUAGGCCUCACUGCCCUGCAGAGAAGGGUGAAUCCAUAGACUCUGACUGCUAGGCCUUACUGCCCUGUCUUCCUGGGGCUAAUGUAUUGAUUGUGGCUACUGGGCCUUACUGCCCCGCUAAAAGGGGCAAACAUAUUGACUUUGGCCAUUGGGCCGCAUUGCCCUGUCUAAUUAGGGCGAAGUUACUGACUGUAGCUGCUGGGACUUGCUGUCGACUGGGGCCAAUG